rnacentral:sRNA from 1 species
UGGAAGAAGAAGAAGAAACUAAAG